rnacentral:rRNA from 2 species
GUGAGUAACACGUGRNUAACCUGCCUAAAAGAAGGGGAUAACACUUGGAAACAGGUGCUAAUACCGUAUAUCUCUAAGGAUCGCAUGAUCCUUAGAUGAAAGAYSGUUCUGCUAUCGCUUUUAGAUGGACCCGCGGCGUAUUAACUAGUUGGUGGGGUAACGGCCUACCAAGGUGAUGAUACGUAGCCGAACUGAGAGGUUGAUCGGCCACAUUGGGACUGAGACACGGCCCAAACUCCUACGGGAGGCAGCAGUAGGGAAUCUUCCACAAUGGACGCAAGUCUGAUGGAGCAACGCCGCGUGAGUGAAGAAGGUCUUCGGAUCGUAAAACUCUGUUGUUAGAGAAGAACACGAGUGAGAGUAACUGUUCAUUCGAUGACGGUAUCUAACCAGCAAGUCACGGCUAACUACGUGCCAGCAGACCGCGGUAAUACGUAGGUGGGCAAGCGUUGUCCGGAUUUAUUGGGCGUAAAGGGAACGCAGGCGGUCUUUUAAGUCYGAUGUGAAAGCCUUCGSBUWACCGG